AAGUAGCGGGCCUUUUCAUCCGGUUGCUGAGGUUCUUACAGUUAAGUAUUUUAAAUAACGUCAUACGCAAAGGUUUGCGAUCGGAAAUAACAAAUGGCGGUAUGAUCUAGCACCGAAAACUUAGUCAACUUUAAGCUGAAGAAAGCUUGUUUAGCUUAUAGCAACUCAAGGUAUUCUGCAAAUGAGGUGAAACAGAAUGCUACAGUUAAGUUUCGAGCAUCUUCUAUAUUGGGGUUAAUAACUAACAGCUUUAACAUUUGCUGUAUUAAGAUCAAAGGCCAACAUCUUAAAUAUUUACUAUUCAAGUUGUUAUAAGUGUUCAAUUAUUUUGUCACAUAUCAGUAUGCUCAGUGUGUCACUAAAUAAACUGUUUUCGAAGGA
rnacentral:lncRNA from 1 species